GACAUAAAAAAAUUAAUUAAUAUUGUCAUGUCAAAUUUUUUGAUUGAUUCAUCUAGUUGAGUGAUUUUAUGAGAGUAAAUCCAAUAUUGAGUGAUUUUAUUAAUAUAUAGCAAAAUUUAAUAACUUUGUUACAUAAUUUUUCAAAGGUAAGCGAUCGUUUGAGAUAUUUACUCCGUCUAUUGGUCAACUGGCCCGUUGGAAAGAAGUGAACAUGUGAACGUUAUAAAAUAUAGCACGCCAUCGCAAGUCUAAAAAAAUGCUAACCACAUGGUCCUCAACUCUCUUUAGAUACAAAUAAUAAUCAUCAAAAAUUUGUCUUCUAUAAACCUCAAUUGAGCCUUGUGGCAAAAAAAAAAAAAAAAAAAAAACCUGGAAGAAACAGAUGGCUGAAGAAAUGAAGAACGAGAUUCAAGAUCUAUCAACUAAACCCCUCACUACUCCAAGUGAAGAGCCUGCUAAAGAAUCAGAAAAUGCACAAGGAGUAGUAGAGAAAGAUGAGGCAGGAAAAGCAGAAGAUGAGGGGUUGGUGCACGUAGUUGCAAAAGCAAAAAUGCCAACACCUCCUGGCAAACGACCUGGUCCUACCACUGGUUGAAAUAAAUAUAAAUAUUAAUACAAUAAGCUUGGGAAAUUCCAAUAUUGUUGUUCAUGUCUUGGUUCCUUUUUAGUUUCUUUGUGUGUGUUUGUUGAUCUUACUUUUAGUUUGAGUUUACUUUAUCACUAUGAUGGAGGAAAAUGUGUGAUAAUACAAUUUGUGUGUUUAAGCA